UUUAUGUGUCACUUGAGGUGUAAAAUAAACCGUUGCACAUCUGUAUACAAUGAUUAUGAUGUUUUUUUAAUUUGGCUUAUUUUUCUUGAUCUUUAGUAGGAUGUUCUUAUAAUUUUGCUGUUUUUUUAUUGUUUUCUAGAGAGCAGACCUAUUUUUGGUGCUCUUUUUUUCCAUCAUUUUUCUUCUCAAUAGCGUAAAAUCCCUCUCUUAUCAUAAAUUAGUGUGCACUCAGUGAGCUCUUCUUCCAACUAAAGGGGGUGACAUUUGCUGAAGCUCCUUUUUUGGUUUCACUGCAGGUUUUAUUCAAAUCUUUGUUAUUCGACUAGAAUUUUUAAGAAGUUGUUUGCUUUUGCAAUAAUUCUGUCUUUGACUUUGGCUGAGUUUCUCGGUUAAAUCUUUGAGUUUCUAUAUUUCGAUUGUUGUGUGGAUGUUUAUUGUUCAUUUUUUGCUCUAAAAUCAUGCAAAAUCUAGAGAUUUUAGAAAUCAUGGAUUUGUUUUAGUGUUUUUCUAUGAAAUCAUGCAAAAUCUAGAGAUUUUAGAAAUCAUGAAUUUUUUUUAGUGUUUAGUAUUUAUAGGAAUUCUUAUUUUGGACGUUACUUUCAACCUGUGUUUAUAUCUUUGUGUCACUUUGCUGAAAAUCCUAUGCUCAAUGUUUGGUUUGUUUCAAUAUUAUUUUGCAAUAAUUAGUUAAAAUACCAUUAAUCGUAUUUUGUGUUCGACAGGUUAACCAUCUACAAGUGUUCGAUGCUUGAGGAUAGAACAACAUUAUAAAACCAUUCAUUUGCAUCAACAUUUAUAUAGUGAUGUUUAUGUGUGAAUUGAGGUGUU
rnacentral:lncRNA from 1 species